GCCAUUAGAAUAAUAACCGUGUAAUUGCAAGAUGGUGGUCGAAACGAGCCCUUUUGUCGAUUGGCAAUGCAAUCGAAUCAUUUCCCCCGGCAGCGCGAAAUUCUGCUGGACUUGGCCUCGCAGGACGUUCAUAUUGUACUCGAAAAUUCCACAGCAGUUUCCCUUCUCGCGGACAAAGUCCAAAUGUCAGGUCAAAUUCGAUCGCUUUUGAAAUGCAAUCCUUACCCAUCACCACUAUACCACCACCUGCGAUAACAAAAUGCGCAUUCACGCCCGGCACAACGUCAAUGACCAAUCCGAAACGAGCCGGAAUACAACGAAAGGAGAAGAGGCGGAGUUUGAGUCGACUUGCCUGGACUUUAUUGGGCCGGACGGGAGUGACGAACCAGCGGAUAGCACGAGCCAGAGAUUCCGUUUGGCGACCUUCCCAUUCUUUCCAUCUGCGAUGCCAGUUAUAUUUCUAUCUUCGUCGCCGUUUAUAAUGAGUUUUAUUUUUUGUUGUUUUUUUUUCUUAUUUAUUUCCCCGUGACUGAAGAUGAGUCACUAUACGAUGAGGGUUGUAAUGGUUUUGCCUCCCUCUGAAAUGAUCACCGAUCGCCAAGAAUACUCAGCAGAUACGUUCAGAAGCAGCCCGGCCAGGGACCUGGCAGCUAAGCCUCGUUUAUCGCACAUAAAAUCUGAAAGCUUAACGCAGUUUCCGUGACAAAUGAUUCGAUAACUCCAUCCGGAUGCGUUAUUAAAAAUAGCACGAGCGUUUAUAAUAGCCGCCAUCUGUUAGCAAGUUGUUCAACCCCAUAAAAUGAGAACCUACUUUUAUCUGAAGUUAAGAAAGAGGGAGAGGUUUUCGAUACUGUACUAUUCCAUAGUUCAAUUUUUUAAUAGGGGAAACAAAUGAAGUUUCAUGGAAAGAGAGUGUCUUCCGGGUGGAACUCGCUUGAUUUUCCUCAGUACAUUGACGAACCAAGAAGUGUUUUUAAAUGUGUAACGAUG